GAUGAACGCUGGCGGCGUGCCUAAUACAUGCAAGUCGAGCGAACAGACGAGGAGCUUGCUCCUCUGACGUUAGCGGCGGACGGGUGAGUAACACGUGGAUAACCUACCUAUAAGACUGGGAUAACUUCGGGAAACCGGAGCUAAUACCGGAUAAUAUAUUGAACCGCAUGGUUCAAUAGUGAAAGACGGUUUUGCUGUCACUUAUAGAUGGAUCCGCGCCGCAUUAGCUAGUUGGUAAGGUAACGGCUUACCAAGGCAACGAUGCGUAGCCGACCUGAGAGGGUGAUCGGCCACACUGGAACUGAGACACGGUCCAGACUCCUACGGGAGGCAGCAGUAGGGAAUCUUCCGCAAUGGGCGAAAGCCUGACGCAGCAACGCCGCGUGAGUGAUGAAGGUCUUCGGAUCGUAAAACUCUGUUAGUAGGGAAGAACAAAUGUGUAAGUAACUAUGCACGUCUUGACGGUACCUAAUCAGAAAGCCACGGCUAACUACGUG
rnacentral:rRNA from 1 species